GGGGAUGUAGCUCAGUUGGUAGAGUGUGUGUCUAGGAGGCAGGAAGACCUGGGUUCAAUCCUCAGCAUCACAG
rnacentral:tRNA from 1 species